AUACUUACCUGGCAGGGGAGAUACCAUGAUCAUGAGGUGGUUCACCUAGAGAGGCCGAGGCUCAGCCAUUGCAUGAUUGUGUAACCGAUGCAAUUCCUCAAAUGUGGGAAUCUCGACUGCAUAAUUUGUGGUAGUUGGGGACUGCGUCCGCGCUCUCCCUGA